rnacentral:rRNA from 1 species
UACAGAGGUCUCAAGCGUUGUUCGGAUUCAUUGGGCGUAAAGGGUGCGUAGGUGGCGCCGUAAGUCAGGUGUGAAAUCUCGGGGCUCAACCCCGAAACUGCACUUGAUACUGCGGUGCUCGAGUACUGGAGAGGAGAUUGGAAUUUACGGUGUAGCAGUGAAAUGCGCAGAUAUCGUAAGGAAGACCAGUGGCGAAGGCGAAUCUCUGGACAGUUACUGACACUGAGGCACGAAGGCCAGGGGAGCAAACGGG